UACGGAGGAUGCAAGCGUUAUCCGGAAUGAUUGGGCGUAAAGCGUCCGCAGGUGGCAAUGUAAGUCUGCUGUUAAAGAGUCUAGCUCAACUAGAUAAGAGCAGUGGAAACUACAAGGCUAGAGUACGUUCGGGGCAGAGGGAAUUCCUGGUGUAGCGGUGAAAUGCGUAGAGAUCAGGAAGAACACCAGUGGCGAAGGCGCUCUGCUAGGCCGUAACUGACACUGAGGGACGAAAGCUAGGGGAGCGAAUGGG
rnacentral:rRNA from 1 species